UUAGACCUAUGAGAAUUUAAUUAGACUUGUUGAAGUUGAUUUGAAUUAAAUUUGAGGUUUGACCGUAUUUUGUUUAUUUUAUUUCACACUUUAUUUUUAAUUCAAAAAUACCAAAAAAAUAUGUUUGACUUGUGAUCUUCAUUUCUCUUUUGUUUGGUAUUGAUUGAUGAUGCUUGGUUCACAUUUGAUCAAUUGAAUUUGAUACUUGAU
rnacentral:lncRNA from 1 species